GCAGCCUCCAGGGUACCCCUGGGGGAAGCUCUGCGGAGGAAGCUGGGAGCCCACUGCUCUUGGUCCUGGCCUCCCCCCACAGAGCGAGGCCAGCUGGAGACAACGGAGUCUGGGCAAACCCCCACAGCCUGCGGGAGGCUGGCGCCACAGCCUAGCUCAAGGGAGUGAGGACUCUGGGCUCCCCCAGGCAUUGCUUGUUGCAAAUCGAGAGGCAGUGCAGCCAAGCAGGCCAGGAGGUAGGCUGCCGUGACGAUGCACGAACCAAAGAGACACACCACCACACGGAUGGAUCUGAAACACGUGGUGUUGAUCGAAAGAAGCUGAAAGAAUAGGUCUGCAUGGAAAACAAGCCUUCCUGGUGGAUGUUUUCACAGCUUAUGUGAGGAUUACCAAAUACCAGAUCUCUGCUUACCUGCCUGGAGCUCCCUCUAACAGCACAUGAUUCCUUGCAGGGUGGGUUACCAGAAGGCAGGAUGUAAGAAGUCUCAACGACCAUGCCACAAAUCUGGUGGGAGCCAAGGGAAGCUCCUUGGGAGCUCAGGAGAGCUGCUCCAGGCCCCUCUGUGGUGGAGGCAAAGUUUGGAUCCAAUUCUCAUCCAGGGCAGAAAUGUCUGAGGUAGGCUUCGUACCUGUGUGCCUCUCUCUCUUGGGUUAUAUGUAAAUUUUGAAUGUCUUCUUUGAGUUGUUCAUAGUUGCCAUCCCAGUGCUGAGCACAGACUAAGUGCCCAACAGAUGGUUGAAUACGUGAAUAAUGAACUUAAAUACUUAGAAGGUGUCUGCAAGAUGGACUCAGGCUGCUCACUCCCUGCAGAUGAGGGCUAGACCCCAGGGCCAGCUCUUUAGCUAUUGGAGAUGCC
rnacentral:lncRNA from 1 species